CCAGCCCGGGCUCUUGCCACCAAGCCCCAAUGCUUCUCUCUGGAGAUCGGGGCGGGUCGAGAAGUUAGAGCUGAACUCUACUAGUUUUUCCUACAUCAUUUGAGGUCAACUUGCCUCUCGGUCUCAGGGAUGCUGGCGACCCGAUCCUGAUCUAAAUUUAGGCGCAGGGCGCUGGAAUAACGGCAGAUCAGAACCAAAGGUUUCCCCCGUCCAGCAGGGCUUUCCUGCCAAGCCGAGGAAGAGGCCGGAUCGACAUUAGCAAAGCGAAGGGCAGAACCGAAGCGAUGAUUCAGGUCUUUCGAGAACAAAAGAAACCAACCCAUUA